rnacentral:misc_RNA from 1 species
GAAAAAGUGGCUCCACGACGUCCAAGUGAUGAAGUGAUAACAAAGGUGAUAAUGGAUGUGCAGCAAGGAUACCAAACAGAUUUCCUCGGACAUCAACCUGGUGGAAUCCAGGUUCAUGAGUCAAAUGUACUCCGAGCUCAGCUACACAAGAAAAAAUCCUGGAAUCACUUCCAUACAAAUGAGGGUACCUAAUCAAACAAGAAUCCAAA